UACGUAGGGUGCAAGCGUUGUCCGGAAUUAUUGGGCGUAAAGAGCUUGUAGGCGGUUUGUCGCGUCUGCUGUGAAAUUUCGGGGCUCAACCCCGAACUUGCAGUGGGUACGGGCAGACUAGAGUGUGGUAGGGGAGACUGGAAUUCCUGGUGUAGCGGUGAAAUGCGCAGAUAUCAGGAGGAACACCGAUGGCGAAGGCGGUUCUCUGGGCCUGUGCUGACGCUGAGGAGCGAAAGCGUGGGGAGCGAACAGG
rnacentral:rRNA from 1 species